GACGAACGCUGGCGGCGUGCCUAAUACAUGCAAGUAGAACGCACAGUUUAUACCGUAGCUUGCUACACCAUAGACUGUGAGUUGCGAACGGGUGAGUAACGCGUAGGUAACCUGCCUGGUAGCGGGGGAUAACUAUUGGAAACGAUAGCUAAUACCGCAUAAUAUUAAUUAUUGCAUGAUAAUUAAUUGAAAGGUGCAAUUGCACCACUACCAGAUGGACCUGCGUUGUAUUAGCUAGUAGGUGAGGUAACGGCUCACCUAGGCGACGAUACAUAGCCGACCUGGGAGGGUGAUCGGCCACACUGGGACGGAGACACGGCCCAGACUCCUACGGGAGGCAGCAGUAGGGAAUCUUCGGCAAUGGACGAAAGUCUGACCGAGCAACGCCGCGGGAGUGAAGAAGGUUGUCGGAUCGGAAAGCUCGGUUGUAAGAGAAGAACGGGUGUGAGAGUGGAAAGUUCACACUGUGACGGUAUCUGACCAGAAAGGGACGGCUAACUACGUG
rnacentral:rRNA from 1 species